CCUACGGGUGGCAGCAGUGGGGAAUAUUGGACAAUGGGGGCAACCCUGAUCCAGCCAUGCCGCGUGUGUGAAGAAGGCCCUCGGGUUGUAAAGCACUUUCAGUGAGGAAGAACGCCUGGUGGUUAAUACCCAUCAGGAAAGACAUCACUCACAGAAGAAGCACCGGCUAACUCCGUGCCAGCAGCCGCGGUAAUACGGAGGGUGCGAGCGUUAAUCGGAAUUACUGGGCGUAAAGCGCGCGUAGGUGGCUUGAUAAGCCGGUUGUGAAAGCCCCGGGCUCAACCUGGGAACGGCAUCCGGAACUGUCAAGCUAGAGUGCAGGAGAGGAAGGUAGAAUUCCCGGUGUAGCGGUGAAAUGCGUAGAGAUCGGGAGGAAUACCAGUGGCGAAGGCGGUCUUCUGGACUGACACUGACACUGAGGUGCGAAAGCGUGGGUAGCAAACAGGAUUAGAUACCCCAGUAGUC
rnacentral:rRNA from 1 species